rnacentral:lncRNA from 1 species
UGGGAAUUAGUCUGCAUAUUGAGUGACAUGACUUACAACUCUUCAAAAGUUUUCUUGCUUCUUACUCCACAUACUUGGUAUUUCUACAAGGUAUAUUUGGAGAAUUAUUGAAGGCUACAUAGCUGGAGGAUCCUCCUUACUAAGCAAAAACAACUUCACCUGCAACAACUAAGUCAGAGAAAAGCCAUCUUUAUGAGGGAGAGGAGGAAAGAUUUCAAUACAGCA